UAUCAUAGACUGUCAGACAUGAAACUAAUAUUAAUCUUCCUGUGUGACUGUCGGUAACAGUAUUGAAAUAGUCUCUCUAAAGAACCAAAUUGCGCCAAGUUUAUGCCACAUUGCUCUGAUAGCUCAACUUUAAUAAUUAUCUUUGACGUUGUCAUGUUGCUGUUCUGACACCUUUAAUUCUGUUUGAUUUGUCCUCAUGUGACUGUUCUCCUCUCCAUUCUCUCUCUCAUUUCUUCUCUUUCGUUUCCUCUUCCUCAAUCAUUAAAUUCCCUGCUGUUUCCAGGAGAUCUGCCCGUCAGCUCAGUUCAUCGUAGAUGGAGCUACGCGGCUGGAUGUCCGCCAGGGAAAACUCAAUGACUGCUGGUUGCUCUCUGCGAUCGCGUCUCUCUGCGUGCAUCGCUUUCUGCUCAACAAGGUCAUGCCUCCAGGACAGUGCUUCCAGGAAGGAUACAACGGCUGCUUUGUGUUCAGGCUGUGCUGAUGCUGUGAUCCUGCCUUUGGUUGUGCUCGU